GACGAACGCUGGCGGCGUGCUUAACACAUGCCAGUCGAACGGAAAGGCCCUGCUUUUGUGGGGUGCUCGAGUGGCGAACGGGUGAGUAACACGUGAGUAACCUGCCCUUGACUUUGGGAUAACUUCAGGAAACUGGGGCUAAUACCGGAUAGGAGCUCCUGCUGCAUGGUGGGGGUUGGAAAGUUUCGGCGGUUGGGGAUGGACUCGCGGCUUAUCAGCUUGUUGGUGGGGUAGUGGCUUACCAAGGCUUUGACGGGUAGCCGGCCUGAGAGGGUGACCGGCCACAUUGGGACUGAGAGACGGCCCAGACUCCUACGGGAGGCAGCAGUGGGGAAUAUUGCACAAUGGGCGGAAGCCGGAUGCAGCAACGCCGCGUGCGGGAUGACGGCCUUCGGGUUGUAAACCGCUUUCGCCUGUGACGAAGCGUGAGUGACGGUAAUGGGUAAAGAAGCACCGGCUAACUACGUG
rnacentral:rRNA from 1 species